GACGUAGGGCGCGAGCGUUGUCCGGAUUUAUUGGGCGUAAAGAGCUCGUAGGCGGCUUGUUGCGUCAGCUGUGAAAACCCGCAGCUCAACUGUGGGCUUGCAGCUGAUACGGGCAGGCUAGAGUUCGGUAGGGGAGACUGGAAUUCCUGGUGUAGCGGUGAAAUGCGCAGAUAUCGGGAGGAACACCGGUGGCGAAGGCGGUUCUCUGGGCCUUACCUGACGCUGAGGAGCGAAAGCGUGGGGAGCGAACAGG
rnacentral:rRNA from 1 species